AAAUCAAAUCUAUAGAGUUUGUUUACCGCCACGUAUCCUACCUUCGUAACGUCGUAACAUACCAAGAGUUUUGAAGUACGCCUAUAACGUAUCGCAUUCUCAUAUAUAGCUACCACCGAUUCAACACUCCCCUUCCCAUCUAAGCCUAACUCCGGUUCCUCCCCCAAUAUCAGUCGACAGAGAUGAUGUCUGUUACCGCCACUGCCUUCUUCCACCAAGCACGAUUCUUGGAUAAGUGAUAUAGGUGAAUCUACAAGAACUCCCAAAUCAAAUUUACUAGGUUUUUUCACUCUGGGUAAUCUUUCUAUGAAAUGGCGCCAUAAACAUCUAAGUCGAUUCACACUUGUUGUGAGCAUGCGUCUGCUUGGGCUUAUUUUUUUUUUUUAAAUAAUUUUUAUUACGCUCCAUAUUUUUUAAUGAUUCACAAAGGUUCUUCUACUAGACUAAGUCAGCCUUCUUUGCUAACAAUCUUUGAUUUGAGAUUUUUUUUUGUAUUUGUGUAUAUGGGAAACUAACUUCUGAUUAUGAUUGUUAAUUGCAUACUGAAAUGAAAUUUAGGGUUUUGAAUUGAUGUUCUGCUUCAGAAAUAUGUAGUUUCAUGUUAUGACCUGUUUCUUUUAUUAGAAAAUCUGCAUAGGGGAAAAAGGGUGUAAGUUUAGAACAUUUAUUUCCUUGCCUACGUCACAUUUUGUUUGGGUUCAUUUUGACUUUUAACACUUAGUUUUAGUGCUAACAUCCUAGAAAUACUUCCAUUUCUUACAAGGAUAUGAUGGGCUACCUCUUAUACGAUAAUUUUACUUUACCAUUUCCCUGAUAGAAAAAGUUUUGCAAAGGAAGUGCUUAAACACGUGAAAAUUUUCAUCUUUUUUCUAAUCUUCCAGCAAUCACAACUUUAUGUUUCUGUUAUUUUGUUGUCUUGUUGGUAUAAGGGGUGUUCCAGAGAUAAUCAUUUAUGAUGCAAGGGGUUUCUUAUUUAUGCAAAUGUGAUAUAGGAAUUUGAUUCACAAUUAGUCCCUGGAUAGACUAAGAACAUAGAAUGUUUCUAAUGGGACUGCAGAAUCUUGGAAAACCAAUAUGUGCAAAAGAAAAAAGAUGAUCUACCCUAUUGGAUAUGGUUACAAUUUUAGCGGUAAUGUAUGCUUCUUUCUUGCUAAUAGAUGUAGUUCAUUAUUUUUUUUGACUUAACCACUUAAUAUUUUUUUUGGUGGUGACCAAAAGACAUUUUUUUUUAUUUCUUGCUGUAAAAUCAAUUUUAAAAUGUUUCU
rnacentral:lncRNA from 1 species